rnacentral:rRNA from 1 species
UACGAAGGGGGCUAGCGUUGUUCGGAAUUACUGGGCGUAAAGGGCGCGUAGGCGGCCUAUCGAGUCAGGCGUGAAAAUCCCGGGCUUAACCUGGGGACUGCGCUUGAGACUGAUGGGCUUGAAUUCGGGAGAGGAUGGCGGAAUUCCCAGUGUAGAGGUGAAAUUCGUAGAUAUUGGGAAGAACACCGGUGGCGAAGGCGGCCAUCUGGCCCGUUAUUGACGCUGAGGCGCGAAAGCGUGGGGAGCAAACAGG